GUACUGGGUUGGCCAAAAAGUUCGCUUGGGUUUUUCUGUAAGAUGUUAUGGUAAAAACCUGAAUGAGCUUUUUGGCCAACCCAAUACAA
rnacentral:pre_miRNA from 1 species